rnacentral:ncRNA from 1 species
UUUAGGUAGAGGUUGCAGACAACAAGAGUAAUUUAAGUGAGUUAGACAAAACGUUGAACUUGAAUGAAAGGGUAGUUUGCCGAAACAAGAAUUGUGUCAAAAGUUCUUGUUGGGCAUAUGGAGAAUAUCUAUAUGACUGUCAUUAGAAAGAGGUUUCUAGUGUUGUGCUAUC